CCUACGGGGAGCAGCAGUGGGGAAUAUUGGGCAAUGGGCGCAAGCCUGACCCAGCAACGCCGCGUGAAGGAAGAAGGCUUUCGGGUUGUAAACUUCUUUUAAGAGGGAAGAGCAGAAGACGGUACCUGACUAAGAAGCACCGGCUAAAUACGUGCCAGCAGCCGCGGUAAUACGUAUGGUGCAAGCGUUAUCCGGAUUUACUGGGGGUAAAGGGAGCGCAGGCGGCGCGUUAAGCCUGGUGUGAAAGCCCGCGGCCCAACCGCGGGACUGCAUGGGGAACUGGCGCGCUGGAGUGCCGGAGGGGUAGGCGGAAUUCCUAGUGUAGCGGUGAAAUGCGUAGAUAUUAGGAGGAACACCAGUGGCGAAGGCGGCCUACUGGACGGUGACUGACGCUGAGGCUCGAAAGCGUGGGGAGCAAACAGGAUUAGAUACCCGAGUAGUC
rnacentral:rRNA from 1 species